AUAGCCUAGCGUUCUCUCUCGGCGGCAAAGUUCCUGUCAUGGCGGGUCUGUCUACAUCAGUGUUCACCUUAUAACUUACAUUUCCGGGCAAUUAACGGUGUGGUGUGGUGUGGUCACGCUACCGGGAAGUAGAUAAGACAUGCAACUAUAAGUACGCGAAGUGCGAGAGCUGGUAAGGACGUGGAAGUGUGAAAAAAAAGACAAAAUAAGGAGUGACGCAGUGAAUGGGAGGAGUGUGUGAAGUCAAGAUCGUAAUAUAUCUUCGUCAGGAGUGUCAUCUUUCUCUCAAGGGCAUGCAGGGGCGUGAUGAAUUCAUAUCAAGAAAAAAAAAUGAAGGAAGUAGAGGAGGAGGAAGAGGAGGAAAAGGAUCACCACCACCACCACCACCACCACCACCACCACCACCACCACAGCAAUCUCGGUCAGAACAACCGCCUGCAGAACGUGGACCGCCAGUGGAUGGUACACUUAUGUGCCCACGGCUUCCAAUGGUGUGGGGCGAUAGUUCUCCACCGUGAUCAUGCAGGUGCAGUACUGCUUUCGGUCACCACCAGACAGGCACUGCACAACCUGGCAGCGGAGGAUGAGGCGCACCUAGAACACUGAAUCCAGACCCUCGUAUUGUACCUCACCCCAGGCCACUCCACCAUAGCCUCAACUCAUCUCUGUGCAGGAGGACCUUUGGAAUUACACCUGCUCUGCCAAGAACUUAGGGCAGGGGGAGUGUACCCUGCAGAUGUCAGGUGUGGGGGGGCCAGCAGUGUAUGAGGGGAUGUAGGGUCUGUUCUUACCUGGUUCUUAACUGUUUUGGGCUCCCAAGAGGGAACCCCAGCAUGGCCAGCACACCAGCCCUAAAGAGAAUCACCAAGGAAUGCAUAACAAUAAAAAGGGCCAGAAAGUGUGUUAUAAGCCCAGAACAGAUAAGGAAGAUAAAACAGUCAAGAAACAGCCUGUCAGUAGGAGAUGGAAGAGGGUCAGGUACAGGGCCAGAUGCCCAAGAAAGGGAAGAAAGAUUGGAGUCCCCAACCAGAAUAAUUUCUUUGCUGUAACAAAAAUCUUGAAGAAAGUUGAUUGAGAUAGUGUUGUCUUGGGGGCUGUAAGAAGGGGGUCUGUAAAUGACUAGAAUAUAAUUAUAUCUUAUAUUCAGAAAGAUAAACAGAAUGAACAUUUGACAAGUCACUCAGCAUCCCAAAGACACAGUCACACGCCACAGUCCCUUGCAUAAAUUUCUAAGUCUUCAUUAACCAAACCUCACCAGUCAUAAGCUGAGACUGACCUGCUCUAGAAAACAUUAUUUUUUUAUUCUUCUUAUCAUAUUUUUUGUUCUUCAGAUAUUCUUUUUUUAAUUUCAGUUGACUUUUGGCAUUGCUGAUUGAUCUUCAGUCCAUUUUAGUUAAGUAUUGCCAGCUUAUCAGUCCUACCUGUGAGGCCAGCCAUGAGUGGGGAGUGUUGGCCCUGCCAGCCUGUGUGGUGCCUUGAGUCACCCUCCCUCUCCUCAUUAGUGGUGGCAGUGAGUUGCACUCAAUGGAGUCACCACAGCUUGAGUCCUCCCUCCUGGCUCUGCAUGUGUCGUCAACAAAAAUAUGCAGAACUCUACUCGACCAUCAACAUGGGAGAACAACCACUCAAGCUGCUGAAGUUGUCAGAGAUGCGAUGGCUGGCUAUUGCACCAUGUCUAACCACUCAAGCUGCUAAAGUUGUCAGAGAUGCAAUGGCUGGAUAUUGCACCAUGUCUAACAAGGAUCCUGCAUCAGUAUGAUGAGCUGAAACUCCAUUUUGAGGUAAGCCUAUUAAAAUUCAUAUAACUCACUAGAACUACUAAUCUGUAUUUAUGUACCAUAGUUAUUCUAAUUUUCUUUGAGUGUGUGGGUGGAUGGAGAGAGAAAGAGAGAAGCAUGAGAAAGGGCAAGGAUGUAUGUAAGUGUGGUUCAUUCCUCAGGUGGAGAGGAUAUUUUCACCUGGGGCUUCAUGAUAUGAAAGGAAUGAGAAAAGAAAUUGACAAAGAGAGAAAUUAAAAGAUGAUGACGUUGAGGAGUUGUGGCGUUGAGAUGGUGGAGGUUUUGUGAGGCGGCACGAUGAUGAUGUUUACAUUAAAAGAUGCUGACUAUAGGACCAUAGGCAUAAUGAAGCCCUUGUGUUUGUCAGGUGAUAUGGGGAUGUGAAACCCUUUUUUGUUACUGUAAACUCUCUCUCUCUCUCUCUCUCUCUCUCUCUCUCUCUCUCUCUCUCUCUCUCUCUCUCUCUCUCUCUCUCUCUCUCUCUCUCUCUCUCUCUCUCUCUCUCUCUCUCUCUCU